rnacentral:lncRNA from 1 species
CAUGCGCCAUUCCAUUUUAGGGAACAAUUAAGUCUGGCUUUGAGGGGAACAUGACACUGAUGGAGACAAGAGGUGUGUGUGUGUGUGUGUGUGUUGGGGGGGGGGGGGGGGGGGGGCACGUACAAAAUGUGCAAAAAGAUGUGAGUGAUAAAGGGGGACAAAUAGAGGAGACAAAAGAAUAAGAUGAGUGAAUCAAGAUGGAUAGAGAGAUAGAAAGAAUGGGGGAAAGGGGGGAAGGGAGGAGGGAGAGAGAUACUGGAGAAAUGGAGAGAGAGAGAAAGAGCAAGAGAAAGGAAAGAAGACUGAGGCGCAGAGGAGAGGAGAGGUCAGCAUCCGAGAGAGGACAGCAGGAGGAUAGCAGAUGUAAGAUGACAAAAGAGCUGAUGAAACCGGCAAAGACAAGAACAAUAGUACAGGCCUCCGUGGAGAAUAGGGGGGGAAACGAUGCCAAGGAAAGCAAUAGAAGAGAGAAAAGAAGAGAGGAGAUAAAGAAAGCUGCAGAGCGGAUAAAAGGACAGAAGCAGAUAAGAAUAAGAGGAGAAGAGAAGAGAAGAGAAGAGGGAAACAGAACAGAAAUGAAAAGGAGGAGAAGAAAAGACAUGGUGGAGAAGAACAGAAGAGAGGAAGAGAAGAGGAGAGAAGGCCAACUGUACCAUCACACCUCCGUCACCCGCUCCCCCGGGCCCAGCACCCCUCCCACCUCCCCCCUCAUCUCCCAGGUGUCAAAACAAGGCCACCAGCUGUUAACCAUGAACAGCAUGACAGCACUGGCUACACCUUACACACUGGACACUAGCUGCAGCAGCAGCAGGAGCGGGAGGAGAAGAAGAGGAGAGGUGAAGAGAAGAGAAGAGAAGAGAAGAGAAGAGAAGAGAAGAGAAGGGGAGAGGAGAGAAGAGAAGAGAAGAGAAGGGGAGAGGAGAAGAGAAGAGAAGAGAAGAGAAGAGAAGGGGAGAGGAGAGGAGAGGAGAGGAGAGGAGAGAAGGGGAGAGGAGAAGGGGAGAGGAGAAGAGAAGAGAAGAGAAGAGAAGGGGAGAGGAGAAGAGAAGAGGAGAAGAGAAGAGAAGAGAAGAGAAAAUAGGAGAAGAGAGGAUAAGAGAAAAGAAGAGAAAAGAGAAGAGAAGAGAAAAGAAAAGAGGAGAAGAGAAAAGAAGAGUAGAAACAAACAGAAAUUAAAAACAGAGAACAAAAAGACAUGGUGGAGAAGAACAGAAGAGAGGAAGAGAAGAGGAAUGG